rnacentral:rRNA from 1 species
CUGGGCGUAAAGCGUGCGCAGGCGGUUUUUUAAGAUAGGCGUGAAAUCCCCGGGCUCAACCUGGGAACUGCGCUUAUGACUGGAAGACUAGAGUAUGGCAGAGGGGGGUGGAAUUCCACGUGUAGCAGUGAAAUGCGUAGAGAUGUGGAGGAACACCGAUGGCGAAGGCAGCCCCCUGGGCCAAUACUGACGCUCAUGCACGAAAGCGUGGGGAGCAAACAGGAUUAGAUACCCUGGUAGUCCACGCCCUAAACGAUGUCAACUAGGUGUUGGGUGGGUAAAACCAUUUAGUACCGUAGCUAACGCGUGAAGUUGACCGCCUGGGGAGUACGGCCGCAAGGUUAAAACUCAAAGGAAUUGACGGGGACCCGCACAAGCGGUGGAUGAUGUGGAUUAAUUCGAUGCAACGCGAAAAACCUUACCUACCCUUGACAUGUCUGGAAUCCUGAAGAGAUUUGGGAGUGCUCGAAAGAGAGCCAGAACACA